rnacentral:rRNA from 1 species
UACAGAGGUCCCGAGCGUUGUUCGGAUUCACUGGGCGUAAAGGGUGCGUAGGUGGUGAGGUAAGUCGGAUGUGAAAUCUCCGGGCUCAACCCGGAAAUGGCAUUGGAAACUACCUUGCUGGAGGAUUUGAGGGGGGGGAUUGGAAUACUUGGUGUAGCAGUGAAAUGCGUAGAUAUCAAGUGGAACACCAGUGGCGAAGGCGAAUCCCUGGAAAAUACCUGACACUGAGGCACGAAAGCUAGGGGAGCAAACAGG